rnacentral:lncRNA from 1 species
AUUCAAUGCAAAUGGGUGUGUGUGUGGAGAGUUAAGCAUAACGCUGUACAAUAAUAAGUUGACCCAAUUCCCGACCUUAAAAGUCAAAUUUUUCCUUACUUUGCUCGUGGGAUUCACUCACACCCCCAAACUUAUUUUCUUUUCUCCUUCCAAGGGUGUAACCUAAGGUUAAAUUUUCAAUACUAAUUUCUUACACCACUCAAGUUUGGUUAGAUUUUACUGAUUGUAGUUCCACAUGUCAACAAAUGAGGAUUCUCCUUAUUUUUGAUUGCUUCAACCUCUAGGAUUCAACCGAAUUACUAACCUCUUAUCAAAGGUCUAAUCCUCUAAAACAGUUGUUCGGGGCUUAAUCAAGGCAUUUGAUAUCUAUAUUUUUUUUAUUUUUUUUAUUUUUUAUAUAAAUGUAUUCUUUAAACAUCCUUUGUGUGGACGUCACUCCCUCAAGCUUUCUAAAUG